CUUCCAGAUACAGCCAAAAUCUCCUCCAGGAAUUUCAUGUGAGUCAACAUUUGAACCACUAAUAACUUUGAUUAUAAGAACUGGAGACCAUACUUUAGCAGUUUGCUAAAACGCCGGCAUACAUGUGGUCGGCACUCCCAACGGACUAUAAUCAAGAGUAUUACCUAGACGGCCUUUAAGGAAUCAUGCUUAAUUAAU